CUGGUGGAGGCUUGUUUGCUUAACAGUCAACUCAUAUGCCUGCUGCUGAAUUUUGAACGGUAUGGAUCUUGUGCCACAUCACGCGACUUCGAAAUAUAUCAUGUGGAUGCUUCUUUUGAAGACCCACUCAUGUGUGCCCAUGGGUUUGUACUGAAACUUGAAAAUUUUGGUUUGAAGUGGAUUAUGGCUCUCUUGAUGAAUGGAUUAGAAUCAAGAUUCUUCUGAAUUGGUGCCUUUGAUGAGUCUUACAUAGAGUUUAUGCAUGCUAUUACACUUGGUUUUCAUCCACUUUAAGCAAUCACAAUUUUUGCUUUAUUUUUUCCAGGCUAAAUAUCCACAUUAGAAUUUAACCUUUAUAAAAUUUGCAAUCAAAUUUGGCAUAUCAGCUUACCAAAUUUGAUGAAUGUAGGAAAACAAAUGAACGACUUUAGUGACUGCCGUUGCUGUGAUUAAUGGCUGCCACAUGGCAAAAAAUUGGAUACAUGGAAUUGUCCAUGUGGCCAAAGUGUCCAAUGUGGCUGCUAAGUUGGAGUUUAUUGUUUUCUUGUUCUUUCUUAUCUCCUUAUUUGUUUAUUUAUUUUUUUUUAAUUUCCUUCUCUCUUUGUUUGCCACCAAUAGAUUUAGCCAGUGAGACAAACCCAGUACAUUUAGGUACUAGAUAUCUUGGUAAAAGUGUGAUUGUUGAUGGGAAAGCAAGGAUUUAAUGACAGCUAAUGCUCAAUUCCCAUAUUAGGUUUUUGUAAGGAAUGGCUUUGCUAUUGUCAUAGGCUAAAAACUAUUUUUGAAUCUCAUCUAAUAGUUUAAUAUUUUUUUUCUUGAAUAGUUAUUUAAUAAAUUAUGAGUAAAGAUCAGUUCUGGCAUUUGCUGUUAUUCUUAUGGACUGAGGACAUAGUAGUUCUCAACAUUUUAUUACAAUAAGUUGUGCUGAGUAUAUUAAUAGUAAUGCAACCAUGAUUUCAGAACAACUAAGAUAAGCUAAAUUAUUAGGGCAGCUCUACCAAAUCGUAGUUACUUCUUUGUGGUGAAGUAACACUUUCCUCUCCUACAAUGUUUUCAAAAGUGGCAGUGAAGGUUUCUUUUCCUUAAACAAGAUAUUUUGGGUUUUUCUCUAUUACAGAUAUAAUAUCUCAUAAGCUAAUUUCUAGAAUAUUUUUUUAGUUUAUGCAUACCCUUCAAGAUACAAGCAUUGUUUCUUUCAUGGCAUAAUUAGCAAAAAAGAAAUAAAUGAAUCUGCAAAACAAUUUUUUUUUUUUCUAUUUGCUUUAGAAAAUAUGUUUUGCAGCUCGCUUGGGAUUGAGUAUUGUGGGAAAUAAGUAUAGGAUUACUCGUUUAUGGAUUAGUUGCUUAAAAGUUGAAAGCCGAGUGAUAUUUAAUUUAAAGUGAACUAAUUUAGUAACUAAAUUGAACAAAUCUCUGUUCUUUAAAUCAUCUCAUUAGUAUAAUCUUAUAAUCUUUGUGAAUUUUUUAUUCUUAUAUGAAGCAGAUGGUGAUUGUGGAUGACAAAAUUGAUAUUAGUAUAUCUUUUUAACUUUUGAAUAAUGUUGAUUUAUAUAUUAACUCAUGGACAUUAAUACCUAGAUCUGCAAUUCCUAGUUGGGGGACCGUAAAUUUUUAGCAGACUUUGAUCUUUUGUUCACAAAAUUGGUUUGAAAGAUAAUAUGUCUUGUAAUUUGCAGUCCGACUGCUCGAUUACUAGCCUCCUCUUUGUUUUAACUUUUGACUUUAUCAGGUUAUAACACUAAAUAUCAUCUCAUUCUGCCUUACAUAAAUGUUAUGUUUGUUUCUACAGAGUGAAGCAGAUCAAAUCAGCAUUUUAUUCAUUGUCUAAGGUUUCAUCAACUCCUCUAUCACCUAUCAUUACCGUGGAUCUUUCAUCAUCUAAAAGAUAUUAAGCAAACAAUCAUCUUUUGUGCAUUGGAGGCCUUUCAACUGUGUGCCAAGAAUUUGAGCCCCUCCCCUUAAACCUUGCUAGUGACAUUCAUGCUAUAAGUUUUCAUAGCUGAGGCUAUUUGACAACAUGCUUCAAUAAAUCCCUGGCAUGACAGCAUUUUACUUUAGCUUGUUUAAUUUGUCUCCUCCCCUGUUUUGCUACCUUCCUAUUGUUAAACAGUAAUUAGAUUAAUUUGGUAUAAAGCUUAUUCAUUGAUUUUUUUUCAUGUGUUUAGGUUUAGCAUGGAGACAAAACAAACAUAAAUAAGUGAUUGCUAUCAUAUUUCAUGUUCAUGAUGUUUAUUUGCAAAAAUAUUUACUGUCAAAGCUGCUAUUUUAUGUGAUAGGAGAGGUUUUAUGGAAACUGUCUAUUACCCCAAUGAAGACAAAACAUAUUACUUCUUUUUCCCUAUCUUUUAUUUCUUUUCUGAAUCCAAUUCUAAAUGCACGUGUUAACUGGACAAAAUUCAUCACAUUGUUGUUCUAGAGAGAUGGUGUGAAGAAAAAAAGUUAAUAAUCUUCUUUUAAAUAGCUUCUCUCAAUCCUUGUGAUAACAAAAUUUUGUUUUUUAUAAACCUGUCAGGUUUUUAGUGAAUCAAGAAUUGUUGAAUAUAGUGUCACAGAGAAAGUAAUUUCAGAUGGAAAGCAAGAGCUAGAGGUUGCUUGAUGGUGAAUCCAGAUAUUAAUUGACAGCAAGCAACAUUACAAGUUCUUGGGGAGAAACAUAGAUAUGAUAUCACUGAUCAGGCUGUAUGUUGAGGAUGGGAAAGUUGUUCGUCAUGAAGAUUGGUGUGCACCAAACACUCAAACUUUGUGGUAUUUCUUGCAGUUAAGCAAAUAUUCUAAUUCGGAAUUUGGGAUCCAUUUUUCUACAAAAUCAAAAAGUUUAGAAAAUGGAAUAUGGAUUGCAUAACUUUGAGGUGGGACAAAAAGCCUCUUCGGAACAGAGAAACAGGUAAUCUGCCACUUGUUGGCCGAAUUAUGGAACUUACUCGCAGAGGUUCAAUGCUAGCAACUCAUGCUUUGAUGGGUUUUGGGAAGGACCCAACAGGAU